rnacentral:rRNA from 1 species
UUGUGCAAAGGUUGCAUAAUCAUUAGUCUUUUAAUUUGGGACUGGAAUGAAAGGUUAGACUAAGAAAAUUUGUCUCAUGAUAAUAUUUUGAAUUUCAUUUUUUAGUAAAAAAGCUAAAAUAAAUUCUAGGGACGAGAAGACCCUAUCAAGCUUAACAAAUAAAAUUAUUUUUCUUUAGUAAUGUAAAUUUGUUUAACUGGGGCAGUAAAUAAUAAAAAUAUUGUUUCUAUAUUGUGGAAUUGAUCCUUGCGAAACCAAGAAAUUUUUAAAAAAGAAUAAGUUACUGUAGGGAUAACAGCGUAAUUUUCUUUAAGAGUACUUAUCGUCAAGAAUGUUUGCGACCUCGAUGUUGGAUUAAAAAUUCUAGACCACGCAGUAGUGGUACAAGAAAGUCUGUCCGACCCUUACCCC